GACGAACGCUGGCGGCGUGCUUAACACAUGCAAGUCGAACGGAAAGGCCCUGCUUUUGUAGGGUGCUCGAGUGGCGAACGGGUGUGUAACACGUGAGUAACCUGCCCUUCACUUUGGGAUAACUUCUGGAAACUGGGUCUAAUACCGGAUAGGAGCUCCUGCUGCAUGGUGUGGGUUGGAAUGUUUCGGCGGUUGGGGAUGUUCUCGCGGGUUAUCAGCUUGUUGGUGGGGUAGUUGCUUACCAAGGCUUUGACGGGUAGCCGGCCUGAGAGGGUGACCGGCAAAAUUGGGACUGAGAUACGGCACAGACUCCUACGGGAGGCAGCAGUGGGGAAUAUUGCACAAUGGGAGGAAGCCUGAUGCAGAAACGCAGCGUGCGGGAUGACGGCCUUCGGGUUGUAAACAGCUUUCGACUGUGACGAAGAGAGAGUGACGGUAAUGGGUAAAGAAGCACCGGCUAACUACGUG
rnacentral:rRNA from 1 species